UCCCUCUUAGCUCAGUUGGUAGAGCGCGUCACUAGUAUGAAAUGAAAUGAAAGGAAAUACAGCAUGACGAGGUCAGUCGUUCAAGUCGGCUAGAGGGAA